rnacentral:rRNA from 1 species
GACGAACCGAGCGAACGUUGUUCGGAAUCACUGGGCUUAAAGGGCGCGUAGGCGGGUAUUCAAGUCUGUGGUGAAAUCCGGCAGCUCAACCGUCGAAUUGCCGUGGAUACUGGGUAUCUCGAGGGAGGUAGGGGCGUGCGGAACUAAUGGUGGAGCGGUGAAAUGCGUUGAUAUCAUUAGGAACUCCGGUGGCGAAGGCGGCACGCUGGACCUUUUCUGACGCUGAGGCGCGAAAGCCAGGGGAGCAAACGGG